rnacentral:rRNA from 1 species
UACGUAGGGCGCAAGCGUAUCCGGAAUUAUUGGGCGUAAAGGGCGCGUAGGCGGUUUGUACAGUCAGAACGUGGAAAUUCCCGGGCUCAACCUGGGGGCUGCGUUUGAUACGUGCAGACUGAGUUCGGAAGAGGGUCGUGGAAUUCCCAGUGGUAGAGGUGAAAGUUCGUAGAUAUUGGGAAGAACACCGGUGGCGAAGGCGGCGACCUGGUCCGAUACUGGACGCUGAGGCGCGAAGGCGUGGGGAGCAAACAGG